rfam:Oreochromis niloticus linkage group LG12, whole genome shotgun sequence.
AUAAAGGUUUUUCUCAAAACCAUGCUAUUAUUAGAUGUACUAAUAGU